AUUGAACGCUGGCGGCAGGCCUAACACAUGCAAGUCGAACGAGUGGCGGACGGGUGAGUAAUGUCUGGGAAACUGCCUGAUGGAGGGGGAUACCUACUGGAAACGGUAGCUACUCCCGAAUACCAUCAGAUGUGCCCAGAUGGGAUUAGCUUGUUGUUGGGGUAACGGCUCACCAAGGCGACGAUCCCUAGCUGGUCUGAGAGGAUGACCAGCAACACGGGAACUGAGACACGGACCAAACUCCUACGGGAGGCAGCAGUGGGGAAUAUUGCACAAUGGGCGCAAGCCUGAUGCAGCCAUGCCGCGUGUAUGAAGAAGGCCUUCGGGUUGUAAAGUACUUUCAGCGGGGAGGCGUUAUCCGAAGAAGAAGCACCGGCUAACUCCGUGCCAGCAGCCGCGGUAAUAC
rnacentral:rRNA from 1 species